AUGUCAGAUUAGGUAGUAUUCACAAUGUUGCAGUUCAGUAGCAAUUUAGUGUGUUUGGAUUCUGAUUUAAAAGUUACUUGCAGUGGAGUAUAUGCCACCUUUUAGACCUAUCAAUUUUGUGUGUAUAAUAACACAAAAAUUAUUUGCAGGGCUUGACACCCACAAUCAGGUCCAUGUUGUGGAACAACCACACACUAUGUAAUGGCAGUAGGGUUAUCAUCAGGGGUGGACAUGAACCACAUUGUUGCUGUGCAGCAUGGUUACACCACAUCAAAUGUGCCACUCAGCACAGUCCAGAUUACAUCCACUCAACAGCAGAAUGGAAACGAUCUCAGUUUGCAAUAUGAGCAACUUGGUUAAAAAGAAACUCCAUCCCUUGAAGCUGAGUGAGCAGCACAUCAGUCUGGAUUAUGCUAUGUCAAGGAGCAGUGAGGGAGGUCCCAAACAUUUGGAUCUUGGCACUGAUGUCAAGUCAGGCCCCUUAGGCUGCCUCAAGAGCUGACUAUGAGGACUGGUAUCCACUCAGCCUUAUCUGGCCACCAGAAGGAGAGUGAAAAGAACCUUGGAAUUCCAUCACUUCAGAGGAGGCAAUCCGGAUCCAUUCAGCUUCAUCAAGCUUAGUGAAUGGCAAGACAGUCCGGCCUAUGCCAUUAUGCCAUCUUGAGGACUAAUGAAGUAAGUCCCAAACAUUUCGAGCUUGGCACUGAUGUCGAGUCAGGCCCCUCAGGUUGCCUCAAGAGUGAAGGACUUCAGAAGGCCAAGACUAGGAUCCACUCAGCUUUACCUGGCUGUCAGAAGGAGAGUGGAAAGGAACUUGAGCCGGUCGCUGUGGCUGAGCGGAUCUAGGCGCUUCAGUCCGGAACCGCACGACUGCUGCGGUCGCAAGUUCGAAUCCUGCCUCGAGCAUGGAUGUGUGUGAUGUCAUUUGGUUGGUUAGUUCCAGGGGACUGAUGACCUCUGAUGUUAAGUCCCAUAGUGCUCAGAGCCAUUUCAACCAUUUUGAAAGGACCUUGGAAUUCCAUCACUUCAGAGGUGGCAAUCCGGAUCCAUUCAGCAUCAUCAGGCUUAGUGAAUGGCAAGUCAGUCCGGACUAAGCCAUCUUGAGGACUAAAGAGGGAAUUUCCAAACAUUUGGAGCUUGUCACUGAUGUUGAGUCAGGCCCCACAGACUGUAUCAAGAGUGGAGGACCAUAUAUCCCCAAUAUCUGGACUUCAGGUCAGGACUGGGAUGCACUCUGCCUUCCCUGGCUGCCAGAAGGAGAGUGGAAAUGUCCAUGAAAUAUCAGCACUUCAGAGGUCAGGAUUAUGAUUCACUCAGCCUCAUCAGGCCUAGUGAAUGGCAAGUCAGUCCAGAAUGUGAUGCAUUGAAAGCAGAUGGGAAGGACCUGAGAUGUCUCUACCAUUCGGAGUUCAGGAUAGCAUUCCACCCUGCCCUCUACAGCUGCGUCAGGAUCAGAUUUGAAAGGAACUGCAAUAUCUGAUCCCAGAACUAAAGACCACUCCGCAUCUUCAGGAUGACUCGAGUUUGUGGAGGUCAAGGCAUCUAUAAUAAGUAGAAUUAGGGACUGAAAUGCUGUUGGCAUGGCCGGGUCACCACAGUAAUGCUUGAAGUCGAGUCAUCAAGAACUGGAUUUCUACAGCAUCAAUUACAGCCAGAGAAAUACUACGUUGUCACACACAUAGCACUGAUAAGAAGCUACAGUAGCUUUAGUGACAACGGGCAGCUCCUGUUGAUGGUUUUUGCAAACAUGCUGACUGAGAUUCUUUCUGUAAUUAUACUCUUGCCCACACACUUUGCAUUUAAAAUCACUCAUUUGACUUACUACCAUUAAUUGCUGGUUUCAUUCAAAUACAUGGAGCAAAUAUUGAAGACAUUGGGGCCGGCCAGAGUGGCCGAGCGGUUGUAGGUGCUUUAGUCCGGAACUGUGCGACUGCUAUGGCCGCAGGUUCGAAUCCUGCUUCAGGCAUGGAUGUGUGUGUCAUCCUUAGAACUACUUAAA
rnacentral:lncRNA from 1 species